AUUUUUUUUCAAAAGAAAGAAAGAAAAAUCUGUUCUUAUCAGUUUAACAUCUGAAAUGUCCCCUAUAAGGGUACAUAUCAGAUGUUAAACUGAUCAUUAACCAAAUUUUACAGACAGGGAGCUGAAGAAGGCGCUUGCUCCAUUCACUCCACCCAUCGACCCGGUACUGCAGUGCCUCAUAUGUGAUAUGCAUGUA